ACUCAAAUGAAUAGACGGGGAGGCGCACAAGCAGUGGAGCGUGUGGUUUAAUUCGAUACGAAGCGAAAAACCUCACCAGGGUUUGACAUGCAAUUGCUAAGCCUAUGAAAGUAGGCCUCCUUCGAGGGUAUUGCACAGAUGCUGCAUGGCUGUCGUCAGCUCGUGGCGUGAGCUGUACCGUUAAGUCGGAAAACGAGCGCAACCCGCAUCUUGUGUUAAAUAUUUCACGAGAAACUGCCCCCGCUAAGCGGGGGAGGAAGGCGCGGAUGACGUCAAGUCAGCACGGCUCUUACACCCUGGGCUACACACACCCUACAAUGGCGAAAAACAACGAGUUGCAAACUGGUAACAGUAAGCUAAUCUCUGAAAUUUCGCCCCAGUUCAGAUUGAGGUCUGAAACCUGACCUCAUGAAGUCGGAAUUGCUAGUAAUCGCGAAUCAGCAGGUCGCGGUGAAUACGUUCUCGCCUCUUGCACACACCGCCCGU
rnacentral:rRNA from 1 species